rnacentral:rRNA from 1 species
UACGGAGGGGGCUAGCGUUGUUCGGAAUUACUGGGCGUAAAGCGCGCGUGGGCGGCUUUGUAAGUUAGAGGUGAAAGCCCGGAGCUCAACUCCGGAAUUGCCUUUAAGACUGCAUCGCUAGAAUCAUGGAGAGGUGAGGUGGAAUUCCGAGUGUAGAGGUGAAAUUCGUAGAUAUUCGGAAGAACACCAGUGGCGGAAGGCGACUCACUGGACAUGUAUUGACGC